rnacentral:lncRNA from 1 species
GUCUCACUGACUUCAAGAAUGAACCUGUGGACCCUCACGCCCCCACCCUGCAUCCUGUAAGGAUAAGAUGCUUGGAGCAGUAGCUACCACCUUGCAGCUGGAGGAGAACGCCAGGAGAAUUUUAGAGUGCCACCUCAUACUGAGAUUCUCCUUCCUCCAACUUCUUAUUAUAGGAGGGCCAUAUGGGAGGAACUGUGGGUCAUCUCAAGGACCUGAAGGGGACCUCCAGCUGAAAGCCAGUAAGAAGUUGGGGCCUCAGUCAUACAGCUGCAAGGAAAUGAAUUUUUCCAACAACCUGGAUGAGCUUGGAAACAGAUUCUACCCCAGUCAAGUACUCAGGUUUCUACAGCAAUGUUAUCUUGAAUGGUUUGUCAACAUGUUUCACUGAGAAAACUUAAAGCAACUCUGGUAAUUACAAGUGGAACCUUGUUACAAGUGGAACCUUGACAACUUCAGAAGUGACCAUCACAACCAAACAUUCCCUGCUCUGAAUCACCUGACAUUCACUGUCUCAUUCACACCAGCUUCUUCAGGUGGCCCUUGAUGAUCUGCCUGCCUCCACAGAGGCUCAGAAAAUUAGCCUUUUCUUUUUUUCUAGAUUUCACUCUUCAUGAUGGAUGUGAAAGACAGUAAAGUAUGCUAGUUAAAACCCAGCCUCUGGAGACAGACUGAUGUGGGGUAAAUCCAGCUUUGCCACUUAACAGUUCUCUGCUCUUGCACAAUUUUACUUAACCUCUCUGAACCUGAAAUCAGGCUAGUUACAGCAUAUUAGUGAAGCAUUCAUCACAGAACCUGAACAUAGGGAGUCCUCAUUAAUGACAGUUAUUAUCAUCGUUAUUAAUAUAUUAUAAUCACAUGGCUAUUGCUUUGUACUUAUCACAUAGUCAUUAAUGUCCCUAGAAUAGUGCAGAUCGGAUGACACCAGUUAUAAGACCCUGAGAAGCUUAACUCAGCAAAACUAAGUUGUUUAAAUCUAUGUUCUAGCUCAGAGGUUGGCAAACUUUCUCUGAAAAGGGCCAGAUAGUAAAUAUUUUAGGCUUGCAGGCCAUAUGGUCUGUGUUGCAACUACUUAAUUCUGCUAUUAUAACUCAAAAGCAGCCAUAGACAAUACAAAAGAAAAUGAGUAUGUUUGUGCUCCAAUUAAAUGUUAUUUACAAAAAGAAUUGGCUGUUUGGAUUUAACGUGUAGGUCAUAGUCUGCCAACCCCUGCUCUAGCCCCUUGUCCAUGUACAGCAAGGUACUCCCAAACAGAAUGCUAAUGGGAAGGGCACGUGGCACAGUAGACACAAUAGAGUUUGAGUCUCGAUUUUGUCAUGUCCUGACUGUAGCAUUCAGGGAAUAUUACUUAACUCUGUAGAAUUCUGAGAAUAUUACUUAAUUCCUCCAUGCCCCAGUUUCUUCCUCUGUAAAUCCUAGGCAAUAGUACUUCCUGGGCAGGGUUUCUGAGGAUAGAUGACCCCAAGUAUAUAAAAGAUAAUUAAGUAAAAGAGAUAACAUAUGUAAAUGAGAUAAUGUAAGUGUGUAUAUUUCAGGCUUUUUUGCAUGAAUUUACUUUGUAUCUAUCUGUUCAACCGGAUUAUGAGUUUGUUGAAGACGAAACAUCUGUUAUCUAUUGCCUUUAUUUCUCUCAUCCUUGUCUCUAGAUCCUAGAAAAGUCGUCUGCACAGAGCAGGGCAUGGCCUGCAUUCCAAAUUUUGUUAUUCUCAAAGGUCAGUUGUUCUCAGUGGCAGACAACAGAAGCCAAGACUUGCUAAGUAAAACAGAAGACAAAUUUGCUGGAAGGACAUGUGAAAAUGGGCACAAAUUAGGAAGCAAGGUCAUACUUGCAUCACUGCUGUUAGGCUGCUACCACUGACUCCUCUGCUCCUGCACUCCCAAAAGCACCAUCAAGAAAAACCCCACACACAGUUCCUUCAUCUUUGCCUUACUUGCUGAAGAUUAGAAGUCCCAGGAUACUGGAUGGCAUGCAGAAUCUUUGGAAGAACAACCAGAUUGCCAGGCAACACAGCUAGAAAAGUGCCCCAAAUCUCACCACAGAACAGAUUUAAUGAAAAUCGCACUUCUGCACUGCUGGGCCAUUAUUACUAUGACCACCGAGAAUGCUGCCUCUAAAGAGUGGAUGGACCUGCUCUCACUGCCCUGCUGCUUCCUGUCCCUAGA